CCUACGGGUGACAGCAGUGGGGAAUAUUGCACAAUGGGGGAAACCCUGAUGCAGCGACGCCGCGUGAGUGAAGAAGUAUUUCGGUAUGUAAAGCUCUAUCAGCAGGGAAGAAAAUGACGGUACCUGACUAAGAAGCCCCGGCUAACUACGUGCCAGCAGCCGCGGUAAUACGUAGGGGGCAAGCGUUAUCCGGAUUUACUGGGUGUAAAGGGAGCGUAGACGGCCUGACAAGUCAGAAGUGAAAGCCCAGGGCUCAACCCUGGGACUGCUUUUGAAACUGUCGGGCUGGAGUACAGGAGAGGUAGGCGGAAUUCCUAGUGUAGCGGUGAAAUGCGUAGAUAUCAAGAGGAACACUCGUGGCGAAGGCGGGUUCCUGGACAGUAACUGACGCUGAGGCACGAAAGCCAGGGGAGCGAAAAGGAUUAGAUACCCCUGUAGUC
rnacentral:rRNA from 1 species